GAGAGAGAGAGAGAGAGAGAGAGAGAGGAGAGUGUAAGUGCGGUGAUGUUUGUGUCUGUGGUCGGCUAAAGCUCUGUGUGUGUUUGUGUGUAGCUGGCUAUGUGUCUGUAUGACUGUGUCUGAGUGUGUCUGAGUGUGUGCAUGAGUGUGUGUGUGUGUGUGUAUGUGGAGUGUGUUCGCUCUGGACUGGAGGGGAUAUCCAAGAAAAAUGUCAGCGAGUCAACAACAACAGAGGCAGGCUAGCGGUCGGAUGUGUAUUUACCUUUUCUCUCAUACCGGGAGAUAGAAGAGGCGCUCGUUCAUUCAGGAGGAGGACGUUACCGGAAUACCUAAGAGACGAGUGGAGCUGAACCGUCUCCCGCCUGUCUGACUGUCUGUCUGCCUGGCUAACGUCAAUUAAAUCUGUAGCUGGGGAGAGCGUUUCAAUCCACAGCCGUCAAGGAUUCUAUCGUCGGAUGAAGAUGGAGUCAUUCCGCCGCUGUGGACGUUAACGGACGUUAACGGACGUUAGGGUCUGGAGAGGCUGGUUGGAGAAGUUGAGCGAGGAGACUGAAGGGAAAGAGGGGAGAGGCGGUUUCGGUUAGCUAAAGGACGCAGCCAGCCCAGCCCUGGAUUGGAACAGGAGAUUAGAAGAAGAGGAAGAGAAAGCUAUGUGGUGUCACCGCUGCCGCCAGUCUCGUCUGUGGUGGAGUCUCGAAGCCAGUGGUCGUUAAAAACGGCCCGGUUUGAUCAGUGAAGCCCCUAGCCCACUCUCUCUCUCUCUCUCUCUCUCUCUCUCUCUCUCUCUCUCUCUCUCUCUCUCUCCUCUUCUCUCUCGCUACCACUACCUCGCUCUUCCUUUCCCUUCUCUUUAAAUGUAAAUGACAUCGGUGGUUUCUCAGUAAGUACGCUUGUCUCGUGACACAUGAGAUAUUUUAAAAAACCAUCCAUGAAGAUGUUGAUGUGUGACCGGGGCGUCCAGAUGCUGGUGACCACCGUGGGGGCUUUCGCAGCCUUCAGCCUCAUGACUAUAGCGGUCGGCACCGACUACUGGCUGUACUCACGAGGGACGUGCAAAAGCAAAAGCACCAAUGACAACGACACGAGCCGGAAGAAUGAAGAGGUGAUGACUCACUCUGGUCUGUGGCGAACCUGCUGUCUGGAAGGAACAUUCCGAGGCGUAUGUAAGAAGAUUGAUCAUUUCCCAGAAGCUACAGAUUAUGAGGCCGAUGCAGCGGAAUACCUCCUCCGAGCUGUGCGAGCCUCCAGUAUAUUCCCCAUAAUGAGUGUGGGUCUACUGUUCCUGGGAGGGCUGUGUGUGGCUGCCAGCGAGUUCUACAGGAGCCGACACAACGUCAUCCUCAGCGCAGGCAUCUUCUUCGUUGCCUCAGGCCUCAGUAACAUCAUUGGCAUAAUCGUCUACAUAUCAGCUAACUCUGGUGACCCAGGUCAGAGUGACAGUAAGAAGAGUUACUCCUACGGCUGGUCCUUCUACUUCGGGGCGUUGUCCUUCAUCAUGGCAGAGAUGGUGGGUGUCCUGGCGGUCCACAUGUUUAUAGAGAAACACCGUAAGCAGAGGGCCAAGUCCCGCACCGAGCUCAUCAAGAAAUCAGCCUUCAGCCGCAUACCUUCCUACCGUUACCGCUUCCGGCGCCGCUCCAGCAUCCGUUCCUCUGAGGCGCCCAGCCGGGAUGCCUCUCCCAUCGGCAAGGGGGGUUACACCGGCCCGGCAGCCUCCGACCUCCCCAUGUAUACGCUCACCCCCCGCGAAGCGGGAACCAAGGCCGCCAUGGGGGCACUGCUCAAUUCGGAGAGGGAGUUUCUACAGGGCGGUACUCUGACCAAUACCAAGGACUACGGCAAAGACGCGGCCAAUAGGAGAACCACGCCCGUCUGAGGGAGGCGGGACCUAGGAGAUGAUUGGAUGGGAGCUGGAUGAUGAUGAUGAUGAUGAUGAGAGACAGUGAGGGAGGAAGAGGAGAGGCAUUAUGACCUUUCACUACUCUGCCCCCCCCCCUCCAGGGGAUUGGAGUUAGACGUUGUUCCUAACCACAGAUCUAGGAUCAGAUUCCCACUAAACUUUUAACCCUAACCUCAACCACUAGUGGGGGGGAUGAAGACAGAUCAGUCCCUGGAUCAGUGCUUAGGACCAGCUACUAUCUACGACAAGAGGAGGGACCCCGUUUUUUGAGCUCUGAACUUUUAACUGUGAACUCUGACCCCUAACCCCUCCCCUCCAUUUAGGGUCACUCAGUAGCAGGAUGUGUGUUGUGUCGGCUUCUACCCUUCCACUGUUUCUAUACUAGUUCUUUCGGUUGCAAAAUUUUCCAGAAAUCCCGGUUCGGAGGGCUCCGGAUUCCCUCCUGAUUCCAGGAAUCUUCCAACCAGGAUUUCUGGAAAACCUGAGAAUUUGGGAGAAGUUAGCAGAAUUUUACAACCCCUAUCAGUUAUAUUUAACAGAACAGGUAGACCACCCCCCCCUCCCCCCCACACCUUUCCCCAAAUUCCCAGGUUUUCCAGAAAUCCCGGUUGGAUGGUUCGAGGAAUCUUCCAACUAGGAUUUCUGUAAAAGUGUUGUGGUGAUGAAGUUUACCAUGGGGCCGAUGUAGCAGGGAGAGGAGGAGGAGGAGGAGAGGAGGAAGAGGAGAGGAGGAAGAGGAGAGGACUGCAGAGCUCAAUCUGACUGAACACUGAACAUUGAGGACGUUACGUUAGGCCCGCAUCACUGGAGCCACAUGACACUGUUCUGCCGUUCAGCCCCACAGACCAACGGACGGACGGACGGAGCAGAGCAGAGCAGAACAGAACACACGCUGGACUGGACAUCAAGACACUAUACAGCUCUAUACAGCUAUACACAGAGCCAGCCACACACAGAGAGAGAGAGAGAGAACGUGUUGGACAAUCACUGUGCCAGCUCUGGAAUCAUUGUGUUGUAUGCAUUCAGAAUCAAUGUUAACAGACCGUGUGUGUGUGUGUGUGUGUGUGUGUGUGUGUGUGUGUUUGCGUGUGUCUGCGUGUGUGUGUGUG